rnacentral:rRNA from 1 species
UACGAAGGGUGCAAGCGUUACUCGGAAUUACUGGGCGUAAAGCGUGCGUAGGCGGUUUGUUAAGUCCGCUGUGAAAGCCCUGGGCUCAACCUGGGAAUUGCAGUGGAUACUGGCAAGCUAGAGUGUGGUAGAGGAUGGUGGAAUUCCCGGUGUAGUGGUGAAAUGCGUAGAGAUCGGGAGGAACACCAGUGGCGAAGGCGGCCGGCUGGGGGUGACCUGACGCUGAGGCGCGAAAGCGUGGGGAGCGAACCGG